UCUCGUACACCUCAAGCCACUUGGAGUA
rnacentral:sRNA from 1 species